rnacentral:rRNA from 1 species
GACGAACGCUGGCGGCGUGCUUAACACAUGCAAGUCGAACGAUGAAGUUCCUUCGGGAAUGGAUUAGUGGCGAACGGGUGAGGAACACGUGAGAAACCUGCCUUUCAUUUUGGGAUAACUCCGGGAAACCGGGGCUAAAACCGAAUACUCCGUCUCGGCGGCAUCGCUGAGCCGGGAAAAAAUUUUGAUGAAAGAUGGUCUCGCGGCCUAUCAGCUAGUUGGUGAGGUAAUGGCUCACCAAGGCAACGACGGGUAGCCGGCCUGAGAGGGCGGCCGGCGACACUGGGACUGAGACACGGCCCAGACUCCUACGGGAGGCAGCAGUGGGGAAUAUUGGGCAAUGGGCGCAAGCCUGACCCAGCGACGCCGCGUGAGGGAUGAAGGCCUUCGGGUUGUAAACCUCUUUCAGUAGGGAAGAAGCGAAAGUGACGGUACCUAAAGAAGAAGCACCGGCUAACUAUGUGCCAGCCGCCGCGGUAA